GAUGAACGCUGGCGGCGUGCAUAAUACAUGCAAGUCGAGCGAACGGACGAGAAGCUUGCUUCUCUGAUGUUAGCGGCGGACGGGUGAGUAACACGUGGAUAACCUACCUAUAAGACUUGGAUAACUUCGGGAAACCGGAGUUAAUACCGGAUGAUAUUUUGAAACGCAUGGUUCAAAAGUGAAAGACGGUCUUGCUGUCACUUAUAGCUGGAUCCGCGCUGCAUUAGCUAGUUGGUAAGGUAACGGCUUACCAAGGCAACGAUGCAUAGCCGACCGGAGAGGCUGAUCGGCCACACUAGAACGGAAACACGGUCCAGACUCCUACGGGAGGCAGAAGUAGGGAAUAUUCCGCAAUAUGCGAAAGCCUGACGGAGCAACGCCGCGUGAGUGAUGAAGGUCUUCGGAUCGUAAAACUCUGUUAUGAGGGAAGAACAUAUGUGUAAGUAACUGUGCACAGCUUGACGGUACAGAAUCAGAAAGCCACGGCUAACUACGUG
rnacentral:rRNA from 1 species